AGCAGUGCGGCGUGCUAUACAUGCAAGUCGAGCGGACAGAUGGGAGCUUGCUCCCUGAUGUUAGCGGCGGACGGGUGAGUAACACGUGGGUAACCUGCCUGUAAGACUGGGAUAACUCCGGGAAACCGGGGCUAAUACCGGAUGGUUGUUUGAACCGCAUGGUUCAGACAUAAAAGGUGGCUUCGGCUACCACUUACAGAUGGACCCGCGGCGCAUUAGCUAGUUGGUGAGGUAACGGCUCACCAAGGCAACGAUGCGUAGCCGACCUGAGAGGGUGAUCGGCCACACUGGGACUGAGACACGGCCCAGACUCCUACGGGAGGCAGCAGUAGGGAAUCUUCCGCAAUGGACGAAAGUCUGACGGAGCAACGCCGCGUGAGUGAUGAAGGUUUUCGGAUCGUAAAGCUCUGUUGUUAGGGAAGAACAAGUGCCGUUCAAAUAGGGCGGCACCUUGACGGUACCUAACCAGAAAGCCACGGCUAACUACGUGCCAGCAGCCGCGGUAAUACGUAGGUGGCAAGCGUUGUCCGGAAUUAUUGGGCGUAAAGGGCUCGCAGGCGGUUUCUUAAGUCUGAUGUGAAAGCCCCCGGCUCAACCGGGGAGGGUCAUUGGAAACUGGGGAACUUGAGUGCAGAAGAGGAGAGUGGAAUUCCACGUGUAGCGGUGAAAUGCGUAGAGAUGUGGAGGAACACCAGUGGCGAAGGCGACUCUCUGGUCUGUAACUGACGCUGAGGAGCGAAAGCGUGGGGAGCGAACAGGAUUAGAUACCCUGGUAGUCCACGCCGUAAACGAUGAGUGCUAAGUGUUAGGGGGUUUCCGCCCCUUAGUGCUGCAGCUAACGCAUUAAGCACUCCGCCUGGGGAGUACGGUCGCAAGACUGAAACUCAAAGGAAUUGACGGGGGCCCGCACAAGCGGUGGAGCAUGUGGUUUAAUUCGAAGCAACGCGAAGAACCUUACCAGGUCUUGACAUCCUCUGACAAUCCUAGAGAUAGGACGUCCCCUUCGGGGGCAGAGUGACAGGUGGUGCAUGGUUGUCGUCAGCUCGUGUCGUGAGAUGUUGGGUUAAGUCCCGCAACGAGCGCAACCCUUGAUCUUAGUUGCCAGCAUUCAGUUGGGCACUCUAAGGUGACUGCCGGUGACAAACCGGAGGAAGGUGGGGAUGACGUCAAAUCA
rnacentral:rRNA from 1 species